rnacentral:rRNA from 1 species
CCAGCAUCCAGCAUCCAGCAUCCAGCAUCCAGCAUCCAGCAUCCAGCAUCCAGCAUCCAGCAUCCAGCAUCCAGCAUCCAGCAUCCAGCAUCCAGCAUCCAGCAUCCAGCAUCCAGCAUCCAGCAUCCAGCAUCCAGCAUCCAGCAUCCAGCAUCCAGCAUCCAGCAUCCAGCAUCCAGUCAUCUAAUUAGUGACGCGCAUGAAUGGAUUAACGAGAUUCCCACUGUCCCUAUCUACUAUCUAGCGAAACCACAGCCAAGGGAACGGGCUUGGCGCGUCAGCGGGGAAAGAAGACCCUGUUGAGCUUGACUCUAGUUUGGGCCGUGGGGGAACAUGGGGGGUGUAGUAUAGGGGGGAGCCGUUUCGGCGGCGCCCGUGAAAUACCCCCACCCCUAUAGUUCCUCCACUAAUCGCAGAGAAACCUCCAGGCGGGGAGUUUGGCUGGGGCGGCACAUCUGUUAAACCAUAACGCAGAUGUCCCAAGGGGGGCUCAUGAAGAACAGAAAUCUUCAGCCGAGCAAAAGGGCAAAUGCCCCCUUGAUUUUGAUUUUCAGUGUGAAUACAAACCAUGAAAGUGUGGCCUAUCGAUCCUUUACACCCUCAGACCCUGAGGCUAGAGGUGCCAGAAAAGUUACCACAGGGAUAACUGGCUUGUGGCAGUCAAGCGUUCAUAGCGACAUUGCUUUUUGAUUCUUCGAUGUCGGCUCUUCCUAUCAUACCGAAGCAGAAUUCGGUAAGCGUUGGAUUGUUCACCCACUAAUAGGGAACGUGAGCUGGGUUUAGACCGUCGUGAGACAGGUUAGUUUUACCCUACUGAUGAGCCCCACGGCAGUAAUUGAACUUAGUACGAGAGGAACCGUUCAUUCGGACAUUUGGUUUUUGGGGCUGCCUGACAAAGCAGCCCCGACGCUACGUCCGUCAGAUCAUGGCUGAACGCCUCUAAGUCAGAAUCUGUGCUGGGGUGGGGAGGAGUGUACAAGAAGGAUAUAUUUCAUAGCAGCAUUCCACAAUCUCCCGCCCACGACUUGACCCCGACAGGGUAUUGUACGCAGAAGAGUGGCCUUGCCGUCACGAUCUGCUGAGAUUAAGCCCCGGUCGAGCGAUUGGAGUAACAUCCACCGAAGGAAACACACCGAGCGCAGCGAGGUUGUGUUUCCGAAGACGUAACCGUAUCCCACCAAGCGGUACCAAGCGGUACCAAGCGAGCGCAGCGACGCUGGUUGGUGGACGCAAAUCUCCACCAGUCAACGCCCAGCGACGCUGGUUGGUGAACUUGUAUUCUUCCACCACCAGUCAACCACCAGUCAACCACCAGUCAACGCCCACCAAGCGUACCGCAACAACGCUGGUUGGUAGACGCAAAUCUCCACCAGUCAACCACGCCCCGUCGUACCCCGACAGACCCUCCUUGUUGAGUCCAACAGGCGGCCCUGUCCUGCUCCGCUCCCGUGGCCUGCCGCCCACAAAUGCAUUCCCGGCAAUGAGCCGUUCCAUUGACCACCUGGAUCUGUGAGGUAUCCUCCUGGACUUGGGAUUCUCCUUGGAAGUCCUCACGUGACACCUCCACUUCCAAAACUGUCCCACCUGGACUUGCACUUGCACUUGCACGCACUUGAAAAACUUGAGAAACUUCACCUGUGGCUCCCCCAGCCUCUCCGCCCAGCUGCGCUCCGCUCGCCGGACCAUCUCCCGCCGGAUGAUCUCCCGCGGUUGGACUUGCCAUCAUCUUGACUCCCCCCAGCUGCGCUCCGCUCGCCGGAUGAUCUCCCGCCGGAUAGUCUCCCGCGGUUGGACUUGUUGUUUUUUUCUCUUGCCGCAGAGUUCUCUCCAGUUUUUACCAUAGUCGCUGGUGAUGAGAAGGAGAGAUAUUGGUCUUUUUCAGGUGGGAUUGAAGAGGUGAUUUGGUUUGGCAAAUGUUCUGUUGUUUUUCGAUCACAAAGUCCAUACGAAAGUUUUAUAAGGGGUUUUAGUAGAUAUGUAAGUAUUUUCAAUAUUUCGAGAGAUGAGAAGUGCUCACCAUUUGACAAAAACCCCAAGUCCAUCGAACGUGUUCUGAAAAAUUUCUUGUAAACGUCUUCACAGUGAUUUCAAGUUAGAACUGGUACAAGCGAGGUACAUACAUAAAUUUAUAAAUCACUAGGUUGUUCGUAUAAAUAUAUAAGCGUGAAAUAUCUAUUGAUAGUAAAAAUCUUUCAGUAUGAUUCACAAUUAGUUAACGUGUAUUAAUUUGGUUAUUGUUCAGUACGAAGGGAUAACAUUACUUUACUUAUUUACAGAUACUUAAAUAGAAUAGUAAUAAACUACGUUUAGAAUACUCUCCCAUAAUACCAAAAUAUAACUCUGAUAUUGAGAUAGACCCAGAGGACAAAUUUAUAAUAAAUCUAAUAAUCAUUUGUUACACCUACGAUACCUACCUAUGGCUUUCUUUGUCAUACCGCUCUCAGCCAAAAUGAUCUUCAUCUCGUUUUUCUGGAUUGGUAGAACCUGUGUAGAUACCAUUGUAUGUACCCUUAUCAUAGCAAUUGGCCAUGUUGUUAUCCAAAUACAAAUAUGAAGACAGUAAUAGUAAUGUGUUUCCUCAAGGUUAAAUACAGGUGAACUAAGGAGAUUACACCAUUGGAUAUUGCGGAUAUGAUAUUAUACUACUGUAAUUUCUAUUCCCUACGUACUUGGUCAACUUGGUCAAAGACUAAAUAAAAGCUAGAUUUGUGCUUGCGUAUUUGAUCACUUUCUUUCAUAAACAAUCCAAAUGGCAGAAGUUACAUAUUUAGCCGACCAUCCUCAGAAUAGAAUAUUCUACGACACCAAAAUGAAACUUUGAUUAAUUUUCGGUCGUUUGUGAUUCUCUUGUGUAUAUCAUUGUAUGAUUGCGGCAUUGCCUUGAUUAGCUCUUAAUCUAAAUGUUUGAGGCAUAACAAUUAUGUUUCUGACCUCAAAACACAUGGCUUUCUUAAAUGCAAUGGAGGAUUUCUAGGUAUAUUUGUUUUCUUCGUGCAUUAACACUUAGUCAUCUGGUUUCAUACUUGGAUAUGAGACUACCUUCAGUCGUCUUCUAUUUGACAGCACUAAUUUCAAAUCACCAAUGGAAACUGAAAAUAUAGGCCCAAAGUUUAACUACCAAUCUUUUAAUUUUUGCUAAUCUAUCUCUGUCAAUAUAGAGCCUGAAUUCUUUCAAAGACUACUUAACUAGAUAUAAUCGAGCUAAAAGUUAACCUAAUAAACAACUUCACUUUGACUAAACAAGUAGUCUAGCUGUACAACAAUCACCCUUACUACCUAUUUUUCAUUUGUAUUUCUAUUGAUGACAUUACUGGCGCCACCCAUGAAGAUACCAAACCUUAAUGUAAAAAUUACAACUGAUUUACUCCCAGAUCCAUAUAGUUCUGCAUCCUUCACUUGAAGGAAAAUAACUUGCUCAUCUACACUUAUUCCACAUUCUGAUUGCAAAGGUCUAGUUGCUGCAAAAUCUUUCACUUUCAUGCGAAGAAACUAUGUUUGCGGUGACGUAUUGACUCUAGGACAAGUUGCAUCUUCCAAGUCCAACUUUGAUGAAAUGUCAUCCUACCAAAGAUUGCAAGGCCUAGACCUGAUGUUGGCCAGAAGAAAGACCAAGUGUUGCAUUCUAAUGCAUUGGGGGUGAUGUGUUAUUUUUGUUUCAUUCAUUUACAUUUUCAAAUCAAGCAUACUUCGAAAUGAAUUGCCAGCUAGUGUAUUUUUUUCUAUUAGUUGGUUGUCCUUCUGCAUGCUGCAAUCCUGUUCACGUUAGUAGCCUUUCGUGCAUGCAAAUACUAUUUGAAACCUGCAGAGAGUUCCAGGUUCCACUUUGCCUCGCUGUUGGUGUUGU